UAUUCUGGCCAACGGGAUUCCGGGAGGAAGUCCCACUCGGGCUCCCCGCUCAUUGGGCCCGUCAGAGCCGCCCCUCCCUCCCUUCGGGUAGGCAGUGCCGGGCUCGAUUGGACGCCCGCUUUGUCCGUCCGACCCCGGGGCCGCGCCUUCCCUCGAACGCGGGGGCCGGCUAGGGCCUCCGUGGGCCGCGCGGCCGCCUGGCGCGGGGUUACGCCCAUGUGGAGUGCUUGUGGCUGGGAGAGGCCGCGGAGCCAGCGGCGGGGAGAUCGGAGUGCGCGGGAGACGCGUCCCGGGUGACGGCUGGGAAAGAUACGGGAAACUUCACUCUUUAUCUCUGCCUUUUGGCUAUCACCUAAUUAGCACACAGGCUUCCUGCAUGCCACCUAUACCUGCCUGUUUCAAGGGGUAAAGGAAGCUACAUUCAAGUCUUGAGAGAAAGUUCAAGAUGGCUGUGUAGAAGAUCUUGAAUUCGCCUCCUCCCAUGGACACACAUAUGGAACAAGUCCCUCUGAAAAAGGCUUGAAAACUAGCUGAACAGCUCCUCCACAACAAAGGAUAAAAGAGCCACAUCGAGACAGGGUCAAGGUUUUUGCUUUGUGUGUGGAUCUAUUGUUGGUUGGAGCUCACCUUCGUCUGUUAAGCCAUAGAGCAUCAUUCAGAUUCCAGUUUUAGCUUUGUUGAGUGGUGCAAGAGCUUAAAGACACAUGCAUGAGGCUCAAUAAAUUAUGGAAUGAAUGGUCUUCAGAGUUACCAAAAAGAAGAAAAUUGAAAACACUGCCUGGCUAAAGGAAAAAGAAAUUUGCUUGAGGACGUAAGAUCCCUGUGUGAACAGUGGGUCCGUAAUUUCUGAAGAGAGUAUGGAAAGAAGGGCAGACUUGAGGUACCGGUGAGAAGUUUAGUGCUGGACAUGUUUUGUGGAGCAUAUAUGGGUCAUCCAAUUGUAAAUAUACUGCUUUGGAUUUGGAUUGGAGAUACAGAAUUGACAGUGGUCAGUAUAUAAGCUUUAGAAGGAGAGGAUGAAAUUCCCCAGAGAAAGUGUGUAUAAAAAGAAAGGGUAGAGGGUGAAGGAUGGAACCCUGGAGGAUUAUAAAUAUGAAAGGACAGGAGAAAGUCAAAGUCACAGAGGCAAGAUAACAGAAUGAGACCAGGAACCCAAGGCAGGAGUUUCAAGAAUGAAGAAGAGGAAAACUAUCAUCCACUGCCAAGAGGUCAAAUAUGGUAAAUACUGAAAAACGUCCAACAAAAAUAGCAAAUAGGAGGUUUGUGUUAUCUCCAGGGAGAAAAACUUACAGAGGUGGGAUGCAUUGAGAAGUGCCAAUGCAGAGGAGGUAGAGACAUGAAACAUAUACUUACGCUGUCAACAGCUUAGAUUGAUGGAAAGUGAAGAGAUGACUCAGAAUGGAAAUAGGUUAAAGAAUAUUCU